rnacentral:piRNA from 1 species
UACUAGCGAUACUUUUUGCAG